GACCUGGAUAGUCUCGCUGUGCGUGAACGCUGUCAUGGAGGUGAACACGUUCAAGUCGGCAAUGGAGCAGGAUCGACGGUCGAGGAAAAGUCUUCUAGAUGGGAGGUGUGAGUCUACAUGCUUUAGUGAGUAGAUCUACUACUCACGCCCAAUGGCAUGCACGUCUUGGACAUCCUUCAUCUCAAGUAGUAAAGUCAAUUUUG